GAUAACAUAGAUUUUCUGGUGAGUGGUCACCAAAAUAAACUUAUAGGACUUUACCACACAGAAUGCAGUGUAGAAUCAUACAAUAACCGCAUACGCACCAGAACUCUAGUACAAACGGGAGAGAAAUCCAAGCCAAAUUAAGUAGCUCUCAUCAUAAUGAAAACUAGCAGCCUGGCAAUCAGCGGGGCUACACCUGUUAGGGGGAAAAUCUGAUACUCAAAAGAUGAGGACCACUCAGCCAGCAGUUGGUCAAACAUAAAAUGCAAGCGUGUGUGGGAAAAGAGAAAGGGCUUUCUAGAAACCAAAUUCCUAGGCACACCUGCUCUCCCUAAAUGUCUAUAACUCUGCCUCUGGAUCUGAAUGAAAUGAUAAAAUUAUGACCCUUACAAGUCUUUAGGGAAAGGAUUUGGUUCAGAACCCAAACUC
rnacentral:lncRNA from 1 species